rnacentral:lncRNA from 1 species
CUCCGCAACAAACUUUAAAUUAAUGCUGUAUAUAAAUGGAAAUAACCGAUGCGUUGAAGAUUACAAGUAAAAUCUGGAACAACUUUCAACAGUUCCAUUGAAGGGAACAUACAGGUUCCUCUACAUUUUAACAAGGAACUCGCUACAGAAAAAACCUUUUACAAGCAAUAGCAAAAUGAAUUACAGAAGCUAAACCUGGCAUUGUGCAUCUAAGUAGUUCCAGACACAACGGGAUUUUCAAGCUACAAGGUACACUAUAAAUCAUGAAGCUAUCACAGAACUGGAAGAGUUUCUUCCUAGACCAAGAC